UACGAAGGGGGCGAGCGUUGUUCGGAUUUACUGGGCGUAAAGGGCGCGCAGGCGGCUCAUUUUGUCAGGGGUGAAAUCCCGAGGCUCAACCUCGGAACUGCCUUUGAUACUGGGGAUCUCGAGUCCGGGAGAGGUGAGUGGAACUGCGAGUGUAGAGGUGAAAUGCGUAGAUAUCGGGAGGAACACCAGUGGCGAAGGCGGCUUCCUGGCCUGUUCUUGACGCUGAGGCGCGAAAGCUAGGGAGCAAACGGGGG
rnacentral:rRNA from 1 species